AGUAUUUGAUUUCUUUCCCCUGUUUCAAGUUGCAGCCUCGCCCCUCUCGCUCUCGCGGCUCUCGGCGGAUCGGCGUUCAGUGAAAGCUAAAAGCCUAAAACCCUAGUUCGAACCUCUACUAGCCGGCGACAGCGGCGGUGGAGCGCGGGAUACCCGGAGAUGCCAGCGCCGUCUGCGGUUGCGUCGGCCGUAGAGAGGCUACAGGCAGCGGCGCAGGACGCCGCCAAGUCCUCGUCGCGCUCGGCCGGCGCCUUCUCCGAGCAGGCGCAGCAGGCCCUCGUGUCCAGGACCGCCGGUUGAAGCAAACAGUGUUUAUCCUUGAACUGCAAAUGUGUAACAAAAUAUGGAGACCACGCCAAUGUCGCUCUAUGGCUAUCAAUGUUAGGAAACCUGAGCUCAGCGUCAGCUAUACAUUAUUCAUAAUGUACAUGGACUAUGUGAGCAGAAUCAGCCGCCUGCAAAAAUGUGGUUAGCCUGAAGGAACCAGUAGUGCAGUGUUUUUUGUAUUAACUGUUGCUGUACUUCAAACCUGUCAUGAGAAGUGCUGCUAUGUUUCUCCUGAUGUUAAUUUAUUCUGCAUUGCAGACGGGUUGUUUCUCUGUCAACAUGUGCAAAGGUCAGUGCCAUUAGCUUUGCGAUUGGUGUUGUGGCAGGGUUCACACUCAAGAAAAGGCUGCGCAGAUGGGCUGCUAGACUGCUGAAGAGAAUUAAGGACGACGACUAUUGACUAAUGCGAUCUUUUCCUCAUUGUCUUUGGAGUUUGUUCAGAAAUCAGAACUAUGGCUACUACGUACCUCAGCAUCUUGUGUAGCCAACUGUUUUUGUGCCUCCACAUAUUUGCUAUGAAUGCUGGUAUAUGAUAAUAUGAACCAUCAGAAGUUCAUCACAUUACAGCAUCGUGAAAUGUGCAAAUGGUGAUACAAUGUCGCCAACGACAGUAUGAUCGUGCCAUGCUCUCUGGUGUCCUUCGUC
rnacentral:lncRNA from 1 species